GAGGUAUGCGAUCUCUCAUCCUUGGUGCUGUGGGAUAAGAUGCAAACUCAAUCUCUCAUUUCAUUCAUAUUUCUGGGCCUGCUUAUCUUUUAUAAUCUCCAUAAGGACUCAUCUGUUCCAGGGAGAUCUGACCGCUGGAUAUUCCUCAAACUGUGGCUGCAUUAAUUCUCUGAAAUCUUUCCAUUUUAGCUCAUUCCAGCCGUUUUUCUUCCAGAUGAUGGUAGUUAAUUCCCCCUGAAAAUCUUAAAGAUGGUGUAAAAAAAUGAGAGUUUCAUGGUUUAAUCUACGAAUAAGUACUUCUAAUAAAGUGCAAUCCCAUCACCUUGCCUUCCAAAUAUAUCGUUUAUUUCCCACUGGCCCACUUGAAAAUCUUGAAGAAUGUUUGAAACCAUCAGUUUCUCUUCCCAAUGAUCGUUGAAUUCCACCGACCCAGUUGACAAAUGUGUCAGAAGUCAAAAACCAGUUGACAUCAGCAUCAUCAUCGUGCAUUGGGUGCUAUUUACGUCCAGG
rnacentral:lncRNA from 1 species